rnacentral:pre_miRNA from 1 species
CAGCGCCUCCUGCUCCGCCCACUCUCCCUGCCAUGUGGUGGCCAGACGUGGGCCUCGGGGCAGCAC